GACGAACGCUGGCGGCGUGCCUAAUACAUGCAAGUAGAACGCUGAAGGAGGAGCUUACUUCUCUGGAUGAGUUGCGAACGGGUGAGUAACGCGUAGGUAACCUGCCUGGUAGCGGGGGAUAACUAUUGGAAACGAUAGCUAAUACCGCAUAAGAGUAGAUGUUGCAUGACAUUUACUUAAAAGGUGCAAUUGCACCACUACCAGAUGGACCUGCGGUGUAUUAGCUAGUUGGUGGGGUAACGGCUUACCAAGGCGACGAUACAUAGCCGACCUGAGAGGGUGGUCCGCCACGCUGGGACUGAGAUACGGCCCCGACUCCUACGGGAGGCAGCAGUAGGGAAUCUUCGGCAAUGGACGGAAGUCUGACCGAGCAACGCCGCGUGAGUGAAGAAGGUUUUCGGAUCGUAAAGCUCUGUUGUAAGGGAAGAACGAGUGUGAGAGUGGAAAGUUCACACUGUGACGGUAUCUUACCAGAAAGGGACGGCUAACUACGUGACAGCCGCCGCCGUAA
rnacentral:rRNA from 1 species